UACGGGGGGAGCAAGCGUUGUUCGGAUUUACUGGGCGUAAAGGGCGCGUAGGCGGCCACCGCAAGUCGGUUGUGAAAUCUCUGGGCUUAACCCAGAAAGGUCAACCGAUACUGCGGGGCUAGAGUGCAGAAGGGGCUACUGGAAUUCUCGGUGUAGCGGUGAAAUGCGUAGAUAUCGAGAGGAACACCUGCGGCGAAGGCGGGUUGCUGGGCUGACACUGACGCUGAAGCGCGAAAGCUAGGGGGAGCGAACGGG
rnacentral:rRNA from 1 species